UGGGGAAUUUUGGACAAUGGGCGAAAGCCUGAUCCAGCAAUGCCGCGUGAGUGAAGAAGGCCUUCGGGUUGUAAAGCUCUUUUGUCAGGGAAGAAACGGUGAGGGCUAAUAUCCCUUGCUAAUGACGGUACCUGAAGAAUAAGCACCGGCUAACUACGUGCCAGCAGCCGCGGUAAUACGUAGGGUGCAAGCGUUAAUCGGAAUUACUGGGCGUAAAGCGUGCGCAGGCGGUUUUGUAAGUCUGAUGUGAAAUCCCCGGGCUCAACCUGGGAAUUGCAUUGGAGACUGCAAGGCUAGAAUCUGGCAGAGGGGGGUAGAAUUCCACGUGUAGCAGUGAAAUGCGUAGAUAUGUGGAGGAACGCCGAUGGCGAAGGCAGCCCCCUGGGUCAAGAUUGACGCUCAUGCACGAAAGCGUGGGGAGCAAACA
rnacentral:rRNA from 1 species